GACGAACGCUGGCGGCGUGCUUAACACAUGCAAGUCGAACGGAAAGGCCCUGCUUUUGUGGGGUGCUCGAGUGGCGAACGGGUGAGUAACACGUGAGUAACCUGCCCUUGACUUUGGGAUAACUUCAGGAAACUGGGGCUAAUACCGGAUAGGAGCUCCUGCUGCAUGGUGGGGGUUGGAAAGUUUCGGCGGUUGGGGACGGACUCGCGGCUUAUCAGCUUGUUGGUGGGGUAGUGGCUUACCAAGGCUUUGACGGGUAGCCGGCCUGAGAGGGUGACCGGCCACAUUGGGACUGAGAUACGGCCCAGACUCCUACGGGAGGCAGCAGUGGGGAAUAUUGCACAAUGGGCGGAAGCCUGAUGCAGCAACGCCGCGUGCGGGAUGACGGCCUUCGGGUUGUAAACCGCUUUCGCCUGUGACGAAGCGUGAGUGACGGUAAUGGGUAAAGAAGCACCGGCUAACUACGUGCCAGCAGCCGCGGUGAUACGUAGGGUGCGAGCGUUGUCCGGAUUUAUUGGGCGUAGAGGGCUCGUAGGUGGUUGAUCGCGUCGGAAGUGUAAUCUUGGGGCUUAACCCUGAGCGUGCUUUCGAUACGGGUUGACUUGAGGAAGGUAGGGGAGAAUGGAAUUCCUGGUGGAGCGGUGGAAUGCGCAGAUAUCAGGAGGAACACCAGUGGCGAAGGCGGUUCUCUGGGCCUUUCCUGACGCUGAGGAGCGAAAGCGUGGGGAGCGAACAGGCUUAGAUACCCUGGUAGUCCACGCUGUAAACGGUGGGUACUAGGUGUGGGGUCCAUUCCACGGGUUCCGUGCCGUAGCUAACGCUUUAAGUACCCCGCCUGGGGAGUACGGCCGCAAGGCUAAAACUCAAAGGAAUUGACGGGGCCCCGCACAAGCGGCGGAGCAUGCGGAUUAAUUCGAUGCAACGCGUAGAACCUUACCUGGGUUUGACAUGGAUCGGGAGUGCUCAGAGAUGGGUGUGCCUCUUUUGGGGUCGGUUCACAGGUGGUGCAUGGCUGUCGUCAGCUCGUGUCGUGAGAUGUUGGGUUAAGUCCCGCAACGAGCGCAACCCUUGUUCACUGUUGCCAGCACGUUAUGGUGGGGACUCAGUGGAGACCGCCGGGGUCAACUCGGAGGAAGGUGGGGAUGACGUCAAGUCAUCAUGCCCCUUAUGUCCAGGGCUUCACGCAUGCUACAAUGGCUGGUACAGAGAGUGGCGAGCCUGUGAGGGUGAGCGAAUCUCGGAAAGCCGGUCUCAGUUCGGAUUGGGGUCUGCAACUCGACCUCAUGAAGUCGGAGUCGCUAGUAAUCGCAGAUCAGCAACGCUGCGGUGAAUACGUUCCCGGG
rnacentral:rRNA from 1 species